AUGCUGUGUGCCGUGACCGCGCACGGGCACUCUGGCGACUUGGGCAGGUUCCGGGAGUUCGUCGAGGAGUCGUUUAAGGUUGUCGGCGCGCCCAGCGUCGGGGACUUCUUCCCGGCACUGCAGUGGGUCGACCGCCUAUGCGGCAUCGACGCGGCGCAUGCAAGGCUGCAGGCGAGGCGUGACGCGUUGGUCGGAGGCCUCGUCGACGACCACAGACGAAGGCGGAGCAAGGCCGGUGGUGGACACACGACCAGCGUUAUCGACGAGCUCUUGGCGCUACAAGAAGCCGAUCCCGAGUACUACACAGACAACGUCCUCAAAGGCAUCGUCUUGGUACUGUUCAGCACCGGGACUGACACGACGGCGCUGACCAUCGAGUUGACGAUGGCGCUGCUGCUGACGCAUCCGGAGGCGCUGCAGAGGGCUAGGGACGAGAUAGACGCCGAGAGCCCUCGGCUGUGCCCCGUCGGCCCGCUCAUCCCGGCGCACGAGGCCAUGGAGGACUGCACGGUGGGCGGCUUCAGGGUCCCGCGCGGCACCAUGAUCCUAGUGAACUCGUGGGCGAUCAACCGGGACGCCGACCUCUGGGACUCCCCAACGGAGUUCAUGCCGGAGAGGUUCUUGGACACGGCCAAGCCCACGCCCAUGAUGCCGUUCGGGUUUGGCCGGAGGCGGUGCCCCGCGGAAGGGCUGGCGAUGCGCCUCCUUGGCUUGACGCUUGCGACGCUCGUGCAGUGCUUCGAAUGGGAUGCCGGGGAAGGUCGUGCCAUUGACAUGGCCGAAGGUGCCGGUCUAAGCAUGCCUAUGGCCACGCCGUUGGCUCUUGUGUGCCGGCCCCGGGAAUUUCUCAAGGGCUUGCUCUCUGCUUCCACUUGA
rnacentral:rRNA from 1 species